UUUAAGGCUGUACAGUCUACUGAAAGUCUAGCUUCUCCAACCUGGAGGGUGCCAGCCUGUUUCACAUGGAUUUAUUCAAGGCUUUGAGACCACCUAUUAGGUUCCUGAACUAAGGGAAGGGAGGAUGAGAAAGAGUGUUUAAGCCUUUCUGGAUGAGGGGAGCUAGACUUAGAAGCUGCUUCUUGCUCCUUGAAGUUGGAAGGCGUUUCAAGAUGAGGAAUGAGUUAUUUCUGGACUAUUACCUCUACUGGAUAGAAAUGCCACAGGGUGGUAAAAAGAGUCCCUUGUCGGUAUGGUGAUUUAAUGUUCCUCCCAAGUUUCCAGCACUGAACCCCAGGGUAGGAAUUAAAUUUUAGCCUGUUCUGAUAAACUUUGUCCAAGCAGGUCCAGCGGCCACAUACUGAAUCCGAAGCUGGUGACUUUUCAACACCUCCAGGGCUACAGUCCAAGCAAGACUUGGGCAUUCUUCUGAACCGGCCUUUCUACUUCCUUUCAUAGCGAUGCUUCAGACCACAGAUGAAGAGUUCUUUAUUAUUU